UACGGGGGGGGGCAAGCGUUUGUUCGGAAUUACUGGGCGUAAAGGGCUCGUAGGCGGCCAACUAAGUCAGACGUGAAAUCCCUAGGCUCAACCUAGGAACUGCGUCUGAUACUGGAUGGCUUGAAUCCGGGAGAGGGAUGCAGAAUUCCAGGUGUAGCGGUGAAAUGCGUAGAUAUCUGGAGGAAUACCGGUGGCGAAGGCGGCAUCCUGGACCGGCAUUGACGCUGAGGAGCGAAAGCGUGGGGAGCGAACAGG
rnacentral:rRNA from 1 species